GUGAACGCUUGCAAUAUACAUAACACAUGCUAGUUUAAUGUUUUUUUUUAUAAAAAAAUAUAGCAUACAGGUGCGUAAAAUAUGAGAAUUUACUUUAAAGUUUAAAUAAUUAUAUUUAUUAAAAUUUAUUUUUUAAUAAAGAAUGUGCAAACAAUAAUAAUUUUAAAUAAAAAAAAAGGUUAAAUGCCACUUUAAAAUAAGCUUAUAUAGGAUUAGGUAGUUGGUUGGAUAAAGCUUACCAAGCCGAAGAUCCUUAGCUGUUCUGAGAAGAAAUACAGCCACACUGGGACUGAGAUAAGGCCCAGGCUUAUUAGCCAGCAGUGGGGAAUAUUGGACAAUGAACGAAAGUUUGAUCCAGUAAUAUUGCGUGAACGAGGACAGCACAAAAGAUUUUUUUUUUAAAAUCGGCUGUAAAGUUAUUUCGUUGAUUUAGAUAAUGACUUAAUCAAAGAAGAAGCCCCGGCUAACUUCGU
rnacentral:rRNA from 1 species